GUUUGAAUAGCUUAAUUUAAAAGCAUUACAUUGAAGCUGUAAUUAUAGUAAUUUUAUACUUUCAAAUA
rnacentral:tRNA from 1 species